rnacentral:rRNA from 1 species
UACGCAAUCUACCCAAAACUGGUGAAUAGCCCUCCGAAAGGAGGAUUAACACAUCGUAACUUAAUGAAGUGGCAUCAUUUUAUUAAUAUAGCUCCGGCGGUUUUGGAUGAGCGUGCGCCUGAUUAGGUAGUUGGCGGGGUAACGGCCCACCAAGCCUGCGAUCAGUAACUGGUGUGAGAGCACGACCAGUCACACGGGCACUGAGACACGGGCCCGACUCCUACGGGAGGCAGCAGUAAGGAAUAUUGGUCAAUGGACGCAAGUCUGAACCAGCCAUGCCGCGUGAAGGAUGAAGGUCCUCUGGAUUGUAAACUUCUUUUAUGUGGGACGAAACCUCUUAUUCUUAAGAGACUGACGGUACCAUAGGAAUAAGCACCGGCUAACUCCGUGCCAGCAGCCGCGGUAAUACGGAGGGUGCAAGCGUUAUCCGGAUUCACUGGGUUUAAAGGGAGCGUAGGAGGGCAGGUAAGUCAGUGGUGAAAUCUUCGAGCUUAACUCGGAAACUGCCGUUGAUACUAUCUGUCUUGAAUACCGUGGAGAUGAGCGGAAUAUGUCAUGUAGCGGUGAAAUGCUUAGAUAUGACAUAGAACACCAAUUGC